UAAACUAGGAUUAGAUACCCUAUUAUAUUAAAGUUAAAUUUGUAAAAUACUGAAUUAUUAAUAGAUAUUUCUUGAAAUUUAAAGAAUUUGGCGGUAAUUUAGUCUUGUCAGAGGAACCUGUUUUUUAAUCGAUACACCACGUUAUAUCUUACUUAUUUUUAAUAGUUUGUAUACCAUCAUUAGUAGAUAAUUUUAAAAGGAAAAAUUAUUGAAAUUAAAUAUGUUAAAAAAAUUAGAUCAAGGUGCAGCUAAUAAAUAAGUUAAAAUGGGUUACAAUAAAAUUUAUUUAUAUGGAAUAAUUUAAAAAAUUGAAUUAUAAAGGCGGAUUUGAUUGUAAUAUAAGUUUAAUAAGCUUAUAAGAUACAAGCUCUAAAUUAUGUACACAUCGCCCGUCACUCUCA
rnacentral:rRNA from 1 species